UACGUAGGGGCAAGCGUUGUCCGGAAUUACUGGGAGUAAAGGGUGCGCAGGCGGAAGAUUAAGUCGGUGGUGAAAUUUUGCAGCUCAACUGUAAAAGUGCCAUUGAUACUGGUUUUCUUGAGUGUGGAUGAAGUAGGCGGAAUUUGUGGUGUAGCGGUGAAAUGCAUAGAUAUCACGAGGAACUCCGAUUGCGCAGGCAGCUUACUAAACCAUAACUGACGCUCAGGCACGAAGGCGUGGGGAUCAAACAGGAUUAGAUACCCGGGUA
rnacentral:rRNA from 1 species